GAUGAACGCUGGCGGCGUGCUUAACACAUGCAAGUCGAACGAGAAGUGAAGACGGAAACCUUCGGGCGGAAGGCUUUAUUUCGAGUGGCGGACGGGUGAGUAACGCGUGGGUAACCUGCCUCAUACAGGGGGAUAACAGUUGGAAACGACUGUUAAUACCGCAUAAGACCACAGCACCGCAUGGUGCGGGGGUAAAAACUCCGGUGGGAGGAGAUGGACCCGCGUUCGAUUAGCCAGUUGGCGGGGUAACGGCCCACCAAAGCGACGAUCGAUAGCCGAUCUGAGAGGAUGACCGGCCAUAUUGGGACUGAGACACGGCCCAAACUACUACGGGAGGCAGCAGUGGGGAAUAUUGCACAAUGGGGGAAACCCUGAUGCAGCGACGCCGCGUGAGUGAAGAAGUAUUUCGGUAUGUAAAGCUCUAUCAGCAGGGAAGAAAAUGACGGUACCUGAGUAAGAAGCCCCGGCUAACUACGUG
rnacentral:rRNA from 1 species